rnacentral:rRNA from 1 species
UACGUAGGUCCCGAGCGUCGUCCGGAUUUAUUGGGCGUAAAGCGAGCGCAGGUGGUUUAUUAAGUCUGGUGUAAAAGGCAGUGGCUCAACCAUUGUAUGCAUUGGAAACUGGUAGACUUGAGUGCAGGAGAGGAGAGUGGAAUUCCAUGUGUAGCGGUGAAAUGCGUAGAUAUAUGGAGGAACACCGGUGGCGAAGGCGGCUCUCUGGCCUGUAACUGACACUGAGGCUCGAAAGCGUGGGGAGCAAACAGG